rnacentral:lncRNA from 1 species
GUUUUUGCAGUAAACAGAAGUCCAUAUUACGUGAGUUUUCGUGUGUGUAUUUAGUGUGUAUAACCAGGCCUGAACCAACAAUUGGUAUCAGAGCGAAGGUUAAAAAAGGGGCGUUUUGAGAGUCGACUUUCGAAGAUAGGAGUAGCCUUCGGGUGCGGGCUGCAAGAGCAGCAGGAGCAAGGUGAGUCGACAAUCGCAGCGUGUUUGGCUGCCGGUUCGCGUCACAAGUAGGGGGUGUUGUUGCUACACACAAAUCAUAGGAGGCUAGUAACAACCGAAGACAGAGACCGGGAGGUGGUUCGUGUCAACCGUUGUCGUGUGGAGAGUACCGGUUUGGAUGACGGGGUGACGGGUGAACAUCGGUGUGUCUCGUUGCUGUUAGUUGUGAUUAACGUGGAAGAAAAGGCUGUAGCGAUCAGAGCUUACCGGUGUGCAGUGAUCGAAGGUGAUAGAUCAGCAGUGAUCGGAGAGAACUAGGUGAUCGCAAGUCGGUGGUUUAGAGCGUUAUCGUUCUAGCGGGUCAAGAGGGGGUAGUGGAGACGAGUCGAGAUUCAGGCCAAAUCAGCGGACUUGUCAACCCAGUUUGUUGAUAGAAGAACGAAGAAGGGAUCGUGUUUUUAUUUGUCGGAUACUCUUUCUAGCCUACGAGAAGAAUUGCAAGGGGUGCAGAAUUCUUUGGAUAGAAAAACCAACGGGUGUAGCACGGUAGAAACGAAACAGCAGGUGGCUGAGAUAUUCGUUUAGCGACUCGAAGACGGUACAGGUGGUAGGCGUCUAGUUGGUUGGUUAUACGUAAGGUGUGCUUAUCAAGGAAGAGCUUGAUAGAAUAGUGAAAUCACGAUCAGGGGGUUGAACCGAGACAGCUUUGGACGUGAUCGAGGUGAAGGUCGGGUGUCCGGGAAAAAUCGAUAUAACUCGAGGUUAAGGUUAUUUUGACGGAAACACUGCAGUGAAGAAUGGGUCGGCGGGUCAAACGGGUCGGCAGCUUGGCGGUCAAGAGACUAGUUGGUCCAUAGGUUAAAAGGUUUUAACCGUGCAAUUUUGGACGUGAAAUCUUUGAGAGCUUUUGCUGCAAAUUAGUUUCUUUGAAUAUUUUGUUUUAUUAGAGUUUUAUUAAUAUUAAUUACUAAUGUGUGAGUAGGUCAGUGUGUUGACCGAGUAAGUAGGAGAGUACGUGGGUUUCCUCCUUAGCUUGAGGAUCAAGUUUAUUUGCUUCUUAUUUAAUGUAAAUUCUGAAAUUAAUGAAGUUAGUUUUU